rnacentral:rRNA from 1 species
UACGGGGGGGGCAAGCGUUGUUCGGAAUUACUGGGCGUAAAGGGCUCGUAGGUGGCCAACUAAGUCAGACGUGAAAUCCCUCGGCUUAACCGGGGAACUGCGUCUGAUACUGGAUGGCUUGAGAUUGGGAGAGGGAUGCGGAAUUCCAGGUGUAGCGGUGAAAUGCGUAGAUAUCUGGAGGAACACCGGUGGCGAAGGCGGCUCUCUGGUCUGUAACUGACGCUGAGGCGCGAAAGCGUGGGGAGCGAACAGG